AUUGAACGCUGGCGGCAUGCCUUACACAUGCAAGUCGAACGGUAACAGGUCUUCGGAUGCUGACGAGUGGCGAACGGGUGAGUAAUACAUCGGAACGUGCCCGAUCGUGGGGGAUAACGGGGCGAAAGCUUUGCUAAUACCGCAUACGAUCUACGGAUGAAAGCAGGGGACCGCAAGGCCUUGCGCGGACGGAGCGGCCGAUGGCAGAGUAGGUAGUUGGUGGGAUAAAAGCGUACCAAGCCGACGAUCUGUAGCUGGUCUGAGAGGACGACCAGCCACACUGGGACUGAGACACGGCCCAGACUCCUACGGGAGGCAGCAGUGGGGAAUUUUGGACAAUGGGCGCAAGCCUGAUCCAGCCAUGCCGCGUGCAGGAUGAAGGCCUUCGGGUUGUAAACUGCUUUUGUACGGAACGAAAAGACUCUGGUUAAUACCUGGGGUCCAUGACGGUACCGUAAGAAUAAGCACCGGCUAACUACGUGCCAGCCGCCGCGGUAA
rnacentral:rRNA from 1 species